rnacentral:rRNA from 1 species
UUGAGCUUGAUCCUGGCUCAGAUUGAACGCUGGCGGCAGGCCUAACACAUGCAAGUCGAGCGGCAGCACGAGGAAGCUUGCUUUCUUGGUGGCGAGCGGCGGACGGGUGAGUAAUACAUGGGAAUCUGCCCGAUAGUGGGGGACAACGUUUCGAAAGGAACGCUAAUACCGCAUACGUCCUACGGGAGAAAGCAGGCUUAGGCUUGCGCUAUCGGAUGAGCCCAUGUCGGAUUAGCUUGUUGGUGAGGUAAUGGCUCACCAAGGCGACGAUCCGUAACUGGUCUGAGAGGAUGAUCAGUCACACCGGAACUGAGACACGGUCCGGACUCCUACGGGAGGCAGCAGUGGGGAAUAUUGGACAAUGGGGGCAACCCUGAUCCAGCCAUGCCGCGUGUGUGAAGAAGGCCUUCGGGUUGUAAAGCACUUUCAGCGAGGAGGAAAGCAGUAAGGUUAAUACCCUUAUUGUGUGACCGUACUCGCAGAAGAAGAC